rnacentral:tRNA from 1 species
GCAGUCGUGACCGAGUGGGUUAAGGCGAUGGACUAGAAAUCCCUUGGGGUCUCCCCGCAUAGGUUCGAAUCCUGUCGGCAGCG